rnacentral:rRNA from 1 species
UACGUAGGGUGCGAGCGUUGUCCGGAAUUGUUGGGCGUAAAGAGCUCGUAGGCGGUGUGUCACGUCGGCCGUGAAAACCUGCAGCUUAACUGUGGAACUGCGUCUGAUACUGGAUGGCUUGAGUUUGGGAGAGGGACGCGGAAUUCCAGGUGUAGCGGUGAAAUGCGUAGAUAUCUGGAGGAACACCGGUGGCGAAGGCGGCGUCCUGGACCAACACUGACACUGAAAAGCGAAAGCCAGGGGAGCAAACGGG